GAUGAACGCUGGCGGCGUGCCUAAUACAUGCAAGUCGAGCGAACGGACGAGAAGCUUGCUUUUCUGAUGUUAGCGGCGGACGGGUGAGUAACACGUGGAUAACCUACCUAUAAGACUGGGAUAACUUCGGGAAACCGGAGCUAAUACCGGAUAAUAUUUUGAACCGCAUGGUUCAAAAGUGAAAGACGGUCUUGCUGUCACUUAUAGAUGGAUCCGCGCUGCAUUAGCUAGUUGGUAAGGUAACGGCUUACCAAGGCAACGAUGCAUAGCCGACCUGAGAGGGUGGUCGGCCACACUGGAACUGAGACACGGUCCAGACUCCUACGGGAGGCAGCAGUAGGGAAUCUUCCGCAAUGGGGGAAAGCCUGACGGAGCAACGCCGCGUGAGUGAUGAAGGUCUUCGGAUCGUAAAACUCUGUUAUUCGGGAAGAACAUAUGUGUAAGUAACUGUGCACAUCUUGACGGUACCUAAUCAGAAAGCCACGGCUAACUACGUG
rnacentral:rRNA from 1 species